GUGGAGAUUUUUGUUUUUUUGCAUGAUUUUCUAUUUUAGAUGUUAGCUAAAUCUUAAAUUUAGCCAUCCAUUUUUAUCAACUCUCUUGGAGUUGCUCUAAGCCUCAUAAAUCCAGCCAACUCUCAUCUAGUUAGCUCUUCCCUAUUAAUAAAUGACUUAUUUUUGUCUCUCUUGCUAUAAAAUUUCUUAGUUUUUGUAUCUAAGCUGAUUAUAAGCUUACGACUCGAUUCUCCUCUCUCUCUCUCUCCUCCAUCUUAGCAUUCAACUUGUUUAUGGGCAUGUUUAGGACCGCUUAUAUUUGGCAAAGGUAUUUGGCAAAUUUGAUUAUUAUGGUACUAG
rnacentral:lncRNA from 1 species